AAGCAGGGACAGCAGGUCUCCACAGAGGUUGCUAUGGGAACCCUAGCCACAUGUGCAGCAUCCCUGGGGGUGUCUGGGAGGGGCUAGGCAGCUGCUGGGUGGCUGGCUGAAAUGACUCUGCCUUUUGGAGCAGAAAGGCUCAGCUGCUCCCGUCCCCCCAGGUCCUAACUCAGCUCGGUGCACAGAACUCCGAACGGAGCAGCUGUUCAGCUUCUGGAUCCCGGAGGAGGAGCAUUCUCCGUACAGCUCUGUACAGCUCUCUUCCAGUCUCAGGGGAGGCCAGGAGGGAGGAAGAGCAGUACUCAGCUCAGAGUUCUCAGACUAGAAACAAGUCUUAAGAAGCCAUUCAGCUGAUCAAUCUGACAACAUACCUUCAUAAGCCGGCUCUGGGAGCCCAGCACUAAACUGGAUAGGCAGUGAGGGAAAUGGAGAAUUAGGAAACGGGAGUGGAAAGGCUUUGGUGGAAAUAAAAAUAGAAGUUAAAGACAGCAACUCUGGUUGUCAUCUACAGAGCGCCCACCAUGCUAGCCGCUCAGCUCGGUUAUUUGUGUACAUCUCCACGGUCUGUACCAUCGACUCUGCCGGGAGGUAGAGAGCCCUUUUACCCAUGUGGAGGCUGAGAUCACAGGAGUGACGUAGAGCACAUGCCCAGGCUUUGUCUCCAGAACAAUCACCUACUGUGAUCCUGUCUUACAGAUGGAUUCAUUUAUUCACUCACACCCAGAAAUUUGUUGAGUACCCAGUAUGUUUUGGGCUCUGUAUCUGAUGUGCUUGAAGUUGAGUGGGGGAGGCUCAUGAGCACGCAGCUUUAUGUAUGUUGCUCCCAGUCCAGCUGUGAACCCCCCCUCCACAGCCCACUCCAAUUGUGCUCCAGGCUCUGCACAAGAUUCUGUGUGCCAGGCACCCUCCGGGACUUCAGCUGCUUUCCAGGCUCCUGCUGCUAAAGCAAGAAGCAUCUUCCAUCCCUGUUUGAUGCUGCAACACGCACCCCAAGGCAGUUCUUCAAAGGGAGCCACUAGGAGUGGGAAGAAAGAAAGUAAACAUCGGGAUUAAAACUGUGAACUAAGCCUGCCCCUGCUCUAGACCUGGCGCAUGAACCUGCUCCCACAGGCAGGCUUUGAUUUGACAACUGCAUUUCCCCAGGCCAGGAUCCCAGGGGGAGCAAGAGGUUCUGGGAACAGAGAUGGGCAGGGCUCAAGGAUGGGCUGGGGGACUGCCCCUCCCACUCAGCAGCUUUCCAGUUUGGUGAGUCCCUCUUCAAAUGGCCUGUCCUUAAGGCCAUGGACAGAGAGCUCCUUCCUUCCUUCCUUCCUUCCUUCCUUCCUUCCUUCCUUCCUUCCUUCCUUCCUUCCUUCCUUCCUUCCCUCCCUCCCUCCUUCCCUCCCUCCCUUCCUUCCCUUCUUCCUUCCUUCCCUCCUUCCUUCCUUCCCUUCUUCCUUCCUCCUUCUGUCCCUCCCUUCUUCUCUUCCUCCCUCCCUUCCUCUCUUCUUUCCUCAUUCCUCCCUUCUUCCCUUUCCCUUCUCCACCCUUCCCUUCCCUUUUCUCCUUCCCUCCUUCCCUAACCACCAUUUCCAGAGGAUACUGGGACUUCAAACUGGCUCAUGUGUGUGCUGACUCUGAUAUUUAGUGGUUGUGUUAUUGUGGGCAAGCAUGCCUGUUUUAAAAGGUAGCUUACUCUGACCUCACACGGUUGUUGGUUGGGAUUUAGUAAAUUCAGGCAGGGAUGUUCACAGCGAAUGCCAGCCUGGCUGGAAAAGCUCAGUGCAUGGUAGCCAUCAGAAUUGUUGUCAUUGUUGCUCAGUGUCAGUGAUCAGGAGUGACAGGGCGUCUCUUGAUCUCAGCCUGCUUCUACCAGCAGGUAAACAAUGAGCGCGAUGAGAGUUGAAUAAAAGACAGGGUGCUAGGGUGUUUGGAAGGGGCUCAGAAGAGCAAGAGCCAAGCCUUCCUGGGAGGAGGGGAAAGAUCAGGGAGAGCUUCCUGGACGAGGUGACUCUCAAGUCUUACAGGACAGCUGGAUUUCACCAAGUGAGUCCAGGCCAAGGAGAGGCUUUGGCUGAGGUGUGAGAGGCAAACUGCAAAUACCUCUGGAGUGUCCUGGUCUUGGGUCCUGUGUGGGAAGUCUGUCUGCAGGCUAUGAUGGAAGCAGGUCCUAUGGGUGCAGAGGGCGGCCAGGCCUGAAAUUCCUCUUCUUCCUGGGCAGCACACACACAUUCAGUGGCUGAGCAAUGCCAGGGUGUAAAGGUGUGACCAUCGCAGCCCAACUCAGGAUGACUCUGAGCAUCUUAUCUAGCUCCACGACUCCUGCGAGGGAUUGAGGAAUUGGCGAGGCUGUGGCUGGACUGAACGGAAGCCCCACCUCUCCCUCUGCUCCACCUGCUUCCUUCCCUCCCAGAGACUCUCUAAACUUGAGUAAACACAGUGGCAGAGUCCCCUACUCACUCGUUUAGGCUGAGCAUUGUCCUUCCAUACUGCUCUCCCACUACCAUCCUCUUUUGAUUUUUAAUUUAAUUUCUUUUAAAGACAGGGUCUCAGCUGGGCGCAGUGGCUCUUGCCUGUGAUCCCAGCACUUUGGGAGGCUGAGGAGGGCAGAUCACAAGGUCAGGAGUUCAAGAUUAGCCUGCCCAACAUGGUGAAACCCCAUCUCGACCAAAAAUACAAAAGUUAGCUGGGCAUGGUGGCAUGCGUCUGUAAUCCCAGCUACUCGGGAGGCUGAGGCAGGAGAAUAACUUGAACCCAGGAGGCGGAGGUUGCAAUAAACCAAGAUCAUGCCAUUGCACUCUAGCCUGGGCGACAAAGCAAAACUCCAUUUCAAAAAAAAAAAAAAAUAGAGUCUCCAUCUGGAGGCAGCAGUGUGAUCACAGCUCACUGCAUCCUCAACCUGGACUCAGGGGAUCCUCUCACCUCAGCCUCUGUCUAGCUGGGAUUAGAGGCACACACUGCUGUAUGCAGCUAAUUUUCUUUAAAAAAUAUAUUUUUAUGUUGCCCAGACUAGUCUUAAACUCCUGGGCUCAAGUGAUCCUCUUGCCUCAGCCUCCCAAAGUGUUAGGAUUAGAGGCAUGAGCUACCACACGCAACCCUACUUGCCUCUUUUUAAAGUAAACUUCUUUUUUGUUGAAGUAUAACAUGCAUACAGAAAGACACAAAAAUUAACCAAUUAUGUACAACACAAAUCUCUGCAAAGUGAACAUAACCUAUAACAGUCACCAGGUCAGGAAACAGAAUUCCACCAGCAUUCCCAGAGUCCCUUAUUGCCCCACUCCUUCUCAAAGAUAACCCCUCCGCUGACUUCUACCACCACAGAUUGAAGGCUAACGUGUUUUUGAACUUGAAAUUAAUAGAAUCAGAGCGUGCAAUCUUAUGUACCUGGCUUCUUUUGCUCAACCUCACGUUUAUGGGAUUUGUUCGUGUUGCUGCAGGUGGCAGUCCUUGAUUCACCCUCAUUGCAGUACACAUUUUCACUGUCUAAAUUACUCCCACUUUAUCUACUCACCACUGAUGGGCAUUGGGGUGGUUUCUGGUUUAUAGCUAAUACAAACAGCUCUACUAUGAACAUU